UCUUUUAGAUUUCCUUCGGGGAAGAAGAAAUUGUGACUGAGUGGCGGACGGGUGAGUAACGCGUGGGCAACCUGCCCCAUACAGGGGGAUAACAGCCGGAAACGGCUGCUAAAACCGCAUAAGCGCACAAGGGCCGCAUGGCCUGGUGUGAAAAACUCCGGUGGUAUGGGAUGGGCCCGCGUCUGAUUAGCUAGUUGGCGGGGGAGAGGCCCACCAAGGCGACGAUCAGUAGCCGACCUGAGAGGGUGGCCGGCCACAUUGGGACUGAGACACGGCCCAAACUCCUACGGGAGGCAGCAGUGGGGAAUAUUGCACAAUGGGGGAAACCCUGAUGCAGCGACGCCGCGUGAGCGAAGAAGUAUUUCGGUAUGUAAAGCUCUAUCAGCAGGGAAGAAAAAUGACGGUACCUGAGUAAGAAGCACCGGCUAAAUACGUGCCAGCAGCCGCGGUAAUACGUAUGGUGCAAGCGUUAUCCGGAUUUACUGGGUGUAAAGGGAGCGCAGGCGGUGCGGCAAGUCUGAUGUGAAAGCCCGGGGCUCAACCCCGGGACUGCAUUGGAAACUACCGAACUAGAGUGUCGGAGAGGUAAGUGGAAUUCCUAGUGUAGCGGUGAAAUGCGUAGAUAUUAGGAGGAACACCAGUGGCGAAGGCGGCUUACUGGACGAUAACUGACGCUGAGGCUCGAAAGCGUGGGGAGCAAACAGGAUUAGAUACCCUGGUAGUCCACGCCG
rnacentral:rRNA from 1 species